rnacentral:lncRNA from 1 species
AAAUGGGGGGGGGGGUUCCCACCCUCGGAUCCCCCUGGAUCCGUGCCUGUGAGGCAUGCUUUAGCUUGCCAUUAAACAAAAAUGUAUACUAGUUGAGUGAUAAUGGACGUGAUACUAAACUCCUCAAUGUAAAAAAAAGAAACUAAAAUAAAAAUCAUACAAAGGUCACAAAGGCCAUAACUUCUGGCCCCUGACUUGGGAAAAGUGCAAAAUGCAGUGGGGUUAAAAGCCUUUACUGUAAAUUCCUAAAAUUACAAUUAUAUAAAUCAUCUCGCAUCUUGGUGCAUUUCUGAAAAUUGGUCAUAUUAAUAAAUGCAUGCUAUAUUUUCAGAAAAUUUCAAUAUAUAUAGG